UUUUUUUUUUUUUUUUCGAGACAGGGUUUCUCUGUAUGGCCCUGGCUGUCCUGGAACUCACUUAGUAGACCAGGCUGGCUUCCAACUCAGAAAUCCGCCUGCCUCUGCCUCCCGAGUGCUGGGAUUAAAGCGUGUGCCACCACGCCCAGCCAAGGCAACUCUUAAAAGGACAACAUUUAAUUGGGGCUGGCUUACAGGUUCAGAGAUUCAGUCCAGUAUCAUCAAGGUGGGAGCAUGGCAGCGUCCAACCCACAGUGACAUAGUAUUCCAACAAGGCCAUACCUCUUAAUAGUGCCACUCCCUAGUUAGCAUCUACAAACCAUCAUACUCCCUUACCGCCCAGAAGAUGACGUUUUAUUGAAAGGUAGCCACACUUACUUGUACAGGACUGCUUUUGCAUUACAGUGUCAUAUUGAGAAUGGAGCAGUUGACUUGAGACUCUGUGAUGUUCUCAGUGCUUGGUGCUGUUGCUUGGUGCACCACAGGAGAGUUUCCAGUGUCCUGUACAUUGCUGUGCAUGCAAAACCCUCUAGAAAUACAGGCUCUAGGUGUCAUAUUUUAAAUCACCCCCUAACUUUGCUACAGAGUAUUGUGGUAACUAUGGCACUAUGACUGCAUUAAAAGAAUACAGCAUAUGUUGAUCCUAUUAGACUAGCCAGGCACUCAUCAAAAUAGUGCCAACUCUAUAGAAAAGCAGUGGUCAGGAAAUGAGAAAGUUUAAAGUAAAAUGUCUAGUAGAAUUUUUAUGUGAAAGUGAAGUUACAAUCAGAUUUCUGCAUGUAUUAUUGGUGAGCCAAGAAAGAUUUUGUUCUUAAGUUAAUGAAGUAUGUUUGCUUAAAGCAGCUGAAGAAUUUGUUGAAAACAGAUUGGCUUUGGACCAUUAGCUUUCAGUGAAAAAGCGCUCUAACAACUGAAGACAUUGAGCCCAGUGUUCAAUCAAGUGCCAACCAAGAAGGCAGGAUAGGGAUGGAGAUAUGGCUCAGUGGUAAAGAGUGCUCCCUACUGUUCUCGCAGAGGAUCUGAGUUCCUUUCCUUGCACCUCCAUUGAGCAACUCAUCUGUAACUUCAGCUCCAGGGUAUUUGACACCCUCUUCCCGACCUCCACGGGUACUGUACUCAUAUGUACAUACCUACAUGCGACACUCAUGAUUAAUCAAAUAUUCUUUAAAGAGCAAAAGAAGCAAAAAAAAAAAAAACUGACUAACUGGGCUUCCUAGGAUCCUGGUGAGUGCAGAGGUGUUACCAGUACUGCGUGCUGUUAGUAGAUUUGAAGAAUCAAUGCUACAUUUAAAAUGACAGUAGAAUGGAAAUUUGCAAGUAGUUAAAUAGCUGAGGGAAGGUUGGUUUUAAAGAAAUGGAGACCUCAGAUUCCACAGACUAAAAUGAUGUCUGCCAAAUAUGUUGUCAACUAGCAGUCAAUUUGGUUGCUCUUGUGGACUUCAUAUUGUCUCUUUGACUUUUGUUAAAAGUAAAAGCGCAGCAGCAUUCCAGGUUGGCCUUCUGUCUUCUUCGCUGGACAGUUGUAAAGCAUUAUUGUAGUUUUUUAUUGUUAUUUCUUGCUCAGUGCUUUAAAUUUUAAGUUUUGUGAACACUUGAUAAAAUCUUUCUUAAUAAAUUUAACCUGAAAUUAUCAGGAAAAACAGUAUUUGUGUAGUAAACUAGUGUUGUGGCACAGUUGCUUCAGGAACACAUGAUGGUAGUGGCUCUGAGUGGCUCCAGCAGCCGGUGGUGUCAGCGACAGAAGUAGAAGUUGUCCUCCAGUGUCACAUCUCAGCUCAGACUGUGCCCUCAGUUGUCAGACACCAGGGCAAGUACAAAGGAAGGUUAAAAAUCAAUUUAAUUGUACAGUUUAGAAAUUCUGCAUUAAGUUGGGAAUUAACUGAUCUACAAUAU
rnacentral:lncRNA from 1 species